GCGGUUACCUGGCGGGAGGCAACCUCGUGACCUGACAGUGAGGUGGUGGCUUUUCUAGGGCGGGGCUCAUCCAGUGCACUCGGCUUGGGCUGACCCCAGUGUUUUCCCCAAUGUGGGAAACUUGACCAUGUAAUUUGUGGCAAUGAGGGACUGUGUUUGUGCUCGCCCCUG
ensembl:snRNA Gm25201 predicted gene, 25201